rnacentral:rRNA from 1 species
GUAGGUGAUGCCCAGGUCGUGGCUCAGCCAGAGGCGCAUGUCGCCGCCGAAGAAGGUGGUCUCCAGGUGCGGGCUCAGCCACAGGGCGAAGGCGCCGACGGCAAGCACCACCGGGAUCAGCAGCGCGGCUUCCCAGCCGGCCGGCAGGCUCAGACGGAUACGCUCGGGCAGGCGGCUCCAGAGCAGGCCGGCAAGAAGGAUGCCCAGCGGCGUCAGCAACAGCAGGCUGAACACACCCGGCAGGUGGCCUUCGACGUAGGGCGCCAGGAACAGGCCGGCGAAGAAGCCGAGGAUCACCGUCGGCAGCGCCUCCAUCAGCUCGAUCACCGGCUUGACCUUGCGGCGCAUCGCCGGAGCCAUGAAAUAGGCGGUGUAGACGGCGGCCGCGAUGGCCAGCGGAGCUGCCAGGAUCAUCGCGUAGAAGGCGGCCUUGAGCGUGCCGAAGGUCAGCGGCGAGAGGCUCAGCUUCGGUUCGAAGUCGGUGGUCGCGGCGGUGGACUGCCAGACGUAGGCCGGCUUGUCGUAGCUCUCGUACCAGACCUUGCCCCAGAGGGCGCUCCAGGAGAUUUCCGGGUGCGGGUUGCUCAGGGCGAAGCGGUGGAUCUUGCCACCCUGCUCCAGCAGCAGGCGGUUGGCCCGCGGCGACAGGGUGAUGACCCCGGAAGAGUCGGCGACCGGCUGGACCAGCAGGGUACGGUGCGCGGUGCUGUGGAAGACGCCGAGGUUGCCCUUCUCGUCCAGGGCGAUGAAGCCCUUGCGCCGUUGUUCCGGAGCGAUGGCGCUGAUCGGCGCGCCAUCCAGAUUGAAGUCGCGAACGUGCGACAGGCGCGGUUCGCCGUCGGUAUCGCGAGCCAUGAACCACUGGGCGAUGCCACCCUUGGAGUCGCCCACCAGCAGCGAGAUGCCGCCCAGCAGCUGGGUGCUCGCGGUGACCUCGGCGUUGGGGUCUUCCAGCAGCUUGUAGCGACCGUUCAACUGGCGGCUGUGCAGGUCGAACACAUCGGCGGUGGCACGUCCGUUGAUCACGUACAGCCACUGCUUGCGCGGGUCGAGGUAGAUGGCUUUCACCGGUUCGGCGAUCUGCGGGAGUUCGAUGCGCUCCUCGUCCAGCGUGCUUUCGCCGGUCAGCAUGUUCUCUUCCCGAGUCAUGCUCAACAGCAGCAGUUGCUUGGCGACGGAGCCAGCCAGCAGCAGGCUGUCGUCGCCGGCAUUGAUGCUCACAUGCUCCAGCGGGCGGCCCUGCGGAUCGAGACCGAUCGGGGUCUCGCCGUAGGGGAAGGCGAUCUCCGGGGUGAUGGUCUUCUUGUUGUCCGGGUAGGUGACCUUGUAGGUGUGCUGGAACACCAGCACCUGUCCGUUGGACAGGCCCAGGGCGACCGUCGGGCUGCCCGGCUGGUCCUGGGCGAUCGAGCGGAUCUCGCUGCCCGCCGGAAGCGGCAGAGCGACACGCUUCAGUUCGACACCGGUCUUGGCGUUGAAAAAGUGAAUCUCGCCCUGGCCGCCGACGCGCAUGGCCACCUGGUUCUGCUCCUCGAUGCUGAGCAGCAGGGGCACCUGCGCCUGCUGCAUCCAGGCCGGAGUCAGCGCUUCGCGGGUCUCCAGGUCGGCGCCGCGGAACAGGGGGAGCACGACGUAGGCCAGGUAGAAGAAGAUCAGGGUGAUCGCCGCCAGCACGGCCAGGCCGCCGACCAGCACGUACCAGCGGGUCAGGCGGUCCUUGAGGGCACGGAUGCGGCGCUUGCGUUGCAGGGCUGGCGUAUUGAAGUCAAUCCGCUCGGGAGCAAGGGAGGAGUUCAUCGGGGAGUUGGCCAUGUCGUUCAUGGGGUGACACCCUAAAGGCUCUGUAUGACAGACAGAUGACAGCAACAUGACGCAACAAAGCCCGCCAGCAGAGCCUCGCUGGCGGGAAAGGCCGGCGGAUCCUAGCGCCCGCCGGCAGAGCCUUCAUGCCUGGACGGCCCAUCGCUGGGCCAUCCGCUCAAGUCACUGGAUUACAGGCCCAGUUCCUUGAUCGCCUUCUCGGCCACCUUGGCCGGCAGCGGGAUGUAGCCGUCCUUGACCACGACCUGCUGGCCGGUCUUGGACAGAACCAGCUUGAGGAACUGAGCCUCCAGCGGGUCCAGCGGCUUGUUCGGCGCCUUGUUCACGUAGACGUAGAGGAAGCGCGACAGCGGAUAGGUGCCGUUCAGGGCGUUCUGCUCGUUGUCCUCGACGAAGGCAGCGCCUUCCUUCUUGGCCAGGGCCACGGUCUUCACGCUGGCGGUCUUGUAGCCGAUACCGGAGUAGCCGAUGCCGUUCAGCGACUGGCUGACCGACUGCACCACGGAAGCCGAACCCGGCUGCUCGUUGACGUUCGGACGGAAGUCGCCUUUGCACAGGGCUUCUUCCUUGAAGUAGCCGUAGGUGCCGGAAACCGAGUUGCGGCCGAACAGUUGCACCGGCUUCUUCGCCCAGUCACCGGUCAGGCCCAGGUCGCCCCAGGUCUUCACGUCCUGCUUGCUGCCACACAGGCGGGUAGCGGAGAAGAUCGCAUCGACCUGCUGCAUGGUCAGGCCUUUGAUCGGGUUGUCCUUGUGCACGAAGAUCGCCAGGGCGUCGACAGCGACCGGGACGGCGGUCGGCUUAUAGCCGUACUUCUGCUCGAAAGCCUGCAGCUCGACGUCCUUCAUCUUGCGGCUCAUCGGGCCCAGGUUGGCGGUGCCUUCGGUCAGGGCCGGCGGCGCGGUGGAAGAACCGGCAGCCUGGAUCUGGAUGUUCACGUUCGGAUAGAGGCGCUUGUACUCCUCGGCCCACAUGGUCAUCAGGUUGGCCAGAGUGUCGGAGCCGACGCUCGACAGGUUGCCCGACACACCGCUGGCUUUCUGAUAUUCCGGCAGCGCCGGGUCGAUCGCGGCUACCGCGGAAGCGGCGCCUACGCCUGCGGCGACGAACGUCAGGGCCGCCAUCAAACGCUUGAGUUUCAUGCCUUGCUCCUUGGACAGGAUGGGGUUGGAUGGAACGGGGGCCAGUAUCGUCAGGCCGCAUGAAGACUCUAUGAAAGGAAUGUGACAGUUGGAUGAAAUGCCAUCAGCCUUCCGACAUUUUUCCGCAAGCCUUGGGAGAAGCCCUGCCACACCCCUAAAAGCCUGGAAACACAAGGGCUCCAGCCUUUCACGGAGGGGCCGGGGAGGCCCUCUGGAGCGCGUUUUCGAUCCGCCUGGGGGAGGUAGCCGUCCAUCCGUUUCAUGCAGGAUGGGUAGUUUCCAGGGCAAUUGUGACAGUCGCCGCCGGCAUUCGCAGUCGAGAAAAGAAGCGAGGAAGCACGCCCCCACGCCGAAAGACCAAGGGUUCCUGCGCAACGUUAAUCGACGCAGGGUUAGUCGGUUCCUAAGGCGAGGCUGAAAAGCGUAGUCGAUGGGAAACAGGUUAAUAUUCCUGUACUUCUGGUUACUGCGAUGGAGGGACGGAGAAGGCUAGGCCAGCUUGGCGUUGGUUGUCCAAGUUUAAGGUGGUAGGCUGAAAUCUUAGGUAAAUCCGGGGUUUCAAGGCCGAGAGCUGAUGACGAGUCGUCUUUUAGAUGACGAAGUGGUUGAUGCCAUGCUUCCAAGAAAAGCUUCUAAGCUUCAGGUAACCAGGAACCGUACCCCAAACCGACACAGGUGGUCGGGUAGAGAAUACCAAGGCGCUUGAGAGAACUCGGGUGAAGGAACUAGGCAAAAUGGCACCGUAACUUCGGGAGAAGGUGCGCCGGCUAGGGUGAAGGAUUUACUCCGUAAGCUCUGGCUGGUCGAAGAUACCAGGCCGCUGCGACUGUUUAUUAAAAACACAGCACUCUGCAAACACGAAAGUGGACGUAUAGGGUGUGACGCCUGCCCGGUGCCGGAAGGUUAAUUGAUGGGGUUAGCGCAAGCGAAGCUCUUGAUCGAAGCCCCGGUAAACGGCGGCCGUAACUAUAACGGUCCUAAGGUAGCGAAAUUCCUUGUCGGGUAAGUUCCGACCUGCACGAAUGGCGUAACGAUGGCGGCGCUGUCUCCACCCGAGACUCAGUGAAAUUGAAAUCGCUGUGAAGAUGCAGUGUAUCCGCGGCUAGACGGAAAGACCCCGUGAACCUUUACUGUAGCUUUGCACUGGACUUUGAGCCUGCUUGUGUAGGAUAGGUGGGAGGCUUUGAAGCGUGGACGCCAGUUCGCGUGGAGCCAUCCUUGAAAUACCACCCUGGCAUGCUUGAGGUUCUAACUCUGGUCCGUGAUCCGGAUCGAGGACAGUGUAUGGUGGGCAGUUUGACUGGGGCGGUCUCCUCCUAAAGAGUAACGGAGGAGUACGAAGGUGCGCUCAGACCGGUCGGAAAUCGGUCGCAGAGUAUAAAGGCAAAAGCGCGCUUGACUGCGAGACAGACACGUCGAGCAGGUACGAAAGUAGGUCUUAGUGAUCCGGUGGUUCUGUAUGGAAGGGCCAUCGCUCAACGGAUAAAAGGUACUCCGGGGAUAACAGGCUGAUACCGCCCAAGAGUUCAUAUCGACGGCGGUGUUUGGCACCUCGAUGUCGGCUCAUCACAUCCUGGGGCUGAAGCCGGUCCCAAGGGUAUGGCUGUUCGCCAUUUAAAGUGGUACGCGAGCUGGGUUUAGAACGUCGUGAGACAGUUCGGUCCCUAUCUGCCGUGGACGUUUGAGAUUUGAGAGGGGCUGCUCCUAGUACGAGAGGACCGGAGUGGACGAACCUCUGGUGUUCCGGUUGUCACGCCAGUGGCAUUGCCGGGUAGCUAUGUUCGGAAAAGAUAACCGCUGAAAGCAUCUAAGCGGGAAACUUGCCUCAAGAUGAGAUCUCACUGGGAACUUGAUUCCCCUGAAGGGCCGUCGAAGACUACGACGUUGAUAGGCUGGGUGUGUAAGCGUUGUGAGGCGUUGAGCUAACCAGUACUAAUUGCCCGUGAGGCUUGACCAU